UUGCUUCUGACGUUAGCGGCGGACGGGUGAGUAACACGUGGAUAACCUACCUAUAAGACUGGGAUAACUUCGGGAAACCGGAGCUAAUACCGGAUAAUAUAUUGAACCGCAUGGUUCAAUAGUGAAAGACGGUUGCUGUCACUUAUAGAUGGAUCCGCGCCGCAUUAGCUAGUUGGUAAGGUAACGGCUUACCAAGGCAACGAUGCGUAGCCGACCUGAGAGGGUGAUCGGCCACACUGGAACUGAGACACGGUCCAGACUCCUACGGGAGGCAGCAGUAGGGAAUCUUCCGCAAUGGGCGGAAAGCCUGACGGAGCAACGCCGCGUGAGUGAUGAAGGUCUUCGGAUCGUAAAACUCUGUUAUUAGGGAAGAACAAAUGUGUAAGUAACUAUGCACGUCUUGACGGUACCUAAUCAGAAAGCCACGGCUAACUACGUGCCAGCAGCCGCGGAGGUGGCAAGCGUUAUCCGGAAUUUGCGUAUUGGGCGUAAAGCGCGCGUAGGCGGUUUUUUAAGUCUGAUGUGAAAGCCCACGGCUCAACCGUGGAGGGUCAUUGGAAACUGGAAAACUUGAGUGCAGAAGAGGAAAGUGAUUCCAUGUGUAGCGGUGAAAUGCGCAGAGAUAUGGAGGAACACCAGUGGCGAAGGCGACUUUCUGGUCUGUAACUGACGCUGAUGUGCGAAAGCGUGGGGAUCCCAAACAGGAUUAGAUACCCUGGUAGUCCACGCCGUAAACGAUGAGUGCUAAGUGUUAGGGUUUCCGCCCCUUAGUGCUGCAGCUAACGCAUUAAGCACUCCGCCUGGGGAGUACGACCGCAAGGUUGAAACUCAAAGGAAUUGACGGGGACCCGCACAAGCGGUGGAGCAUGUGGUUUAAUUCGAAGCAACGCGAAGAACCUUACCAAAUCUUGACAUCCUCUGACCCCUCUAGAGAUAGAGUUUCCCCUUCGGGGGACAGAGUGACAGGUGGUGCAUGGUUGUCGUCAGCUCGCGUGAGAUGUUGGGUUAAGUCCCGCAACGAGCGCAACCCUUAAGCUUAGUUGCCCAUUCAAGUUGGGCACUCUAAGUUGACUGCCGGUGACAAACCGGAGGAAGGUGGGGAUGACGUCAAAUCAUCAUGCCCCUUAUGAUUUGGGCUACACACGUGCUACAAUGGACAAUACAAAGGGUAGCGAAACCGCGAGGUCAAGCAAAUCCCAUAAAGUUGUUCUCAGUUCGGAUUGUAGUCUGCAACUCGACUAUAUGAAGCUGGAAUCGCUAGUAAUCGUAGAUCAGCAUGCUACGGUGAAUACGUUCCCGGGUC
rnacentral:rRNA from 1 species